UGUUCCUACGGGACGCAGCAGUGGGGAAUAUUGCACAAUGGGGGAAACCCUGAUGAAGCAACGCCGAGUGAGUGAAGAAGUAUUUCGGUAUGUAAGGCUCUAUCAGCAGGGAAGAGAAUGACGGUACCUGACUAAGAAGCCCCGGCUAACUACGUGCCAGCAGCCGCGGUAAUACGUAGGGGGCGAGCGUUAUCCGGAUUUACUGGGUGUAAAGGGAGCGUAGACGGUUCUGCAAGUCUGAAGUGAAAGCCCGUGGCUUAACCGCGGGACGGCUUGGGAAACUGUGGAACUGGAGUGCUGGAGAG
rnacentral:rRNA from 1 species